rnacentral:rRNA from 1 species
GACGAACCGUGCGAACGUUAUUCGGAAUCACUGGGCUUAAAGCGCGUGUAGGCGGGAGGGCACGUCCGUCGCUGAAAUCCCCCGGCUCAACCGGGGAACGGGCGCGGAUACGACCUUCCUGGAGGGGCGUAGGGGGACCUGGAACUUCCGGUGGAGCGGUGAAAUGCGUUGAGAUCGGAAGGAACGCCCGUGGCGAAGGCGAGGUCCUGGACGCCUACUGACGCUGAGACGCGAAAGCCAGGGGAGCGAACGGG